UAUGCUUAACCAUUAACAUAGAUUAAACCAUACAUAAAAUCCGCCAGAGAACUACACGCACGAAGCUUUAAACUCAAAGGACUUGACGGUGUCCUAACACCCUAGAGGAGCCUGUCCUUUAAUCGAUACCCCACGCUAAACCUCACCUUCACUCGCCAGAUCCAGCCUAUAUACCGCCGUCGAAAGUCUACCUUAUGAAAGAGCCCACGUGGACACAACAGCCCGCCUACUAACACGUCAGGUCAAGGUGUAGCUAACAUGAAGGGAAGUGAUGGGCUACACUCUCUAAAAUAGAGCCCUGUAAGCAAUAUGAAACCCACCUAAAAGAAGGAUUUAGCAGUAAAUUUAACAAGUAGUGUUAACUUGAAGCCGCACUCCAGGACGCGUACAC
rnacentral:rRNA from 1 species